rnacentral:lncRNA from 1 species
CUCUAUAAAAGGUGAGGAAAUCCCAUUUUUCAGGAUUUUCGAACACUUGUACUCUGAUAUUCUCUUAAAUCUUCAAAUUUUUCCGACGUCGAGGUUGACUGUAAUUUCAAUUUCCGGCCAAUCUCCAUUUGUGUCGAAUUUCCUUAGGUAUUUUUUGCAGAAAAUACCAUCUUACUGUCUUUUUACUGAAAAAAUGGAGUCCACUUCGGGUAGGGAGCUAGUGACAG